rnacentral:rRNA from 1 species
UACGUAGGGUGCAAGCGUUGUCCGGAAUUAUUGGGCGUAAAGAGCUCGUAGGCGGUGUGUCGCGUCGGCCGUGAAAACCUGCAGCUUAACUGUGGGCUUGCGGUCGAUACGGGCAUCACUGGAGUUCGGCAGGGGAGGCUGGAAUUCCUGGUGUAGCGGUGAAAUGCGCAGAUAUCAGGAGGAACACCGGUGGCGAAGGCGGGUCUCUGGGCCGAUACUGACGCUGAGGAGCGAAAGCGUGGGGAGCGAACAGG